GAGAGAGUUCAGAGUACGUGAAACCGUUCAGGGGUAAACCUAAGAAACCCAAAAGAUCGAACGGGGAGAUUCACCGUCAGCGACGUUGGCUUCGCGUCGGUGGGCGAUGUCACGCGGAGCCUCGCGGCUCUCGCGCUGGCACGCCGCCGUCCGUACGAUGUCCGGCGUUCGUCGUCGUGCACUUCUCCCCUAGUAGAACGUCGCGACCCGCUGGGUGUCUGUCUACGGUCCGGGUGCGGUGACUGACGCGUCGCCCGUAAAACGGUACGCGUCAAACCCUCGGUCACCCGGCCGGCUGCCCGGCGGUACACGCAUGGUAUCAGGCCGCAGUUCUCUCUCACGAGAGAGUGCGUCGAGGCCGUCGCAAGCGCGCGCCACGGUACACGGAGGUACGGACCUAGCGCCGUCACCGGUCCUGGCCCGCUGUUGGUCGUACGGUUAACCUUCGACAGGCCUACCAACGUCCCCCUCGCGGGGACCGAUACCGGUCGGCGACGCUACUGCUUUGGGUACUCUUAGGACCCGUCUUGAAAC
rnacentral:rRNA from 1 species